rnacentral:lncRNA from 1 species
UGUUACUGCAAGGUGGCCCUCAGAAGCCUGCAUAGCAGCCAAUGUCACCCUCUGGCUGAUCAAAGGUCCCAUGCCCUGUUUCAGAAAGUUACCUAUUUUUAGAUAACACUUCACAACAGUUUUUUACUUUUUGAAUGUUGUCUAGAUUUCUACAACUGAUUUAGGGUAUUUUUGCACUGCUGAAUCAGGAAAUGGCAUCCGUUUCUCUCCAUCAGGUCAGGUUUUUGUGCUAUGUUGAUUUGAAAAAAAUCAGAUCUUGUGACAAAAUCAAUUACAUUUUUGUGGCAUUAUCAGCUGAUUUUUGUCAACACAUAUCAUCCUAAAUAUGUUUUCAAGAGAAAAAAAAAAGUUUUUCCAACAACAUUUAUUGAUUACCUGAUAGAAACAUUGAUCACUGUAAACUGAAUGGUGGGCAUUGAUAAAGGUAAGUACACCUAAAUUGCAUGUUGCUUCACCAUUUUUCAAACUUCAGGGCUUGAACUUCCGUUUCUUGGAACUCCUGGAAUGCUCAGCGGCAGGGAGGUCUCUCUUCAGAGUCCAACAGUAGUCAGCCAUCAUGACUGCAUCCCAGUGACCCUGAUACCUGGUCUCCAUCUCUUUCAUGUCCUGGUGGAAUCUCUCUCCCUGCUUGUCACUCAUUGAACCCAGGUUCUCAGGAAACCGGUCCAUAUGUGAAAAUAGGUAGUGCAUCUUGAUGCUCAUGUUGCAGCCCAGGUUUCUGAAAGCAGUCAGCAUGUUGUCGACAAGUUCUGCGUAGUUUCUGGCCUUAUUGUUGCCAAGAAAGUUCUUCACUACCAGAACAAAUGCCUUCCACGCUUCCAGUUCCACUUCGUUCAUUGAGUUUUCGAACUCUGGAUCUCUGAUGAGCUGAUGGAUCUGAGGACUGUCAAAGAUGCCAGCUUUCAACUUCUCCAUGGUCAAUCCUGGAAAAGCCUUGCACAAGUAAGUGAAGCAGUCACCAUCCUUGUCCAGAGCCUUGGUGAACUGCUUGAUUAAGCCGAGCUUGAUGUGCAGUGGUGGGAAGAGUAUUCUGUCUCUGUCCACCAGAGGGUCGUUGAUGACGUUCCUUUUUCUGCAAGGCACCAAUUCCUCCCACACAGGCCAGUCCUUCUUCGUGUAAUGCUGAGCACGGUCCCUACUAUCCCACAUGCACAGAAAACAUGGGUACUUGGUGAAGACAGACUGUUGUCCCAACAAAAAGUUCACCAUCUUCAGGUCAAGACAAAUAAACCACUUAUGCUGAUCAUAACUAAUUUUCUCCAGCACAUACUUCACCGCUUCAUAGUUCUUCUUCAGUGUACUCGAGUGAGCCAGGGGUAUAGAGGCAAACUGGUUGCCGUUGUGUAGCAGAACACAUUUCAGUGAUUGCUUGCUGCUGUGAAUGAAUAGUCUCCAAUCUUUGGGUUCAUACUGUGGCACUCCAAGCUUGAGCAGAAGCUGCACAAUAUCUGCACAGUACACCAAGUCCUUCUCUUCCGAGAAAAAACGGAGGUACUCUUGAUGCCUGUUUAACUUAGUUUUGAUCCCCCAACUUUAUGCUUUGCCGCACCAAUUUAUGGAAGAUUUCGAGGUUUUAUGACUUCAAACUGAUCCCUUUUCGACAUAAUCACCCAGAACUAUCGGACCUGAAUACUUCUUGUGAUUAAAAUAAUCAUUUCCAAUCAAAACAAUUAUUCGACAUGGCAUUUUACCCCCACCAACUUCUUCUAAAAUGUUCCACACAAGCGUACAUGUGAACAAAAACGUAAAAAUAUGACAUGUGGUCAUAGCUCAAAAACUUGACCUGAUUGAGCAAAAACAAUGUGAUUUUUGGAUUCAGCGAAUCAGAUUCAUCCUAAAUCAACUGAAAAAACGCAGACAACAAAUUUGUUGUGCAGCUGUGUAAUUUUUCAAAAACAUAAGAACAUGAGAAUGCCCUCCCUUCAGAUGUCAAAGAGAUUAAGAACUACAUAACUUUUAGAAGACAUCUGAAGGCAGCCCUGUAUCAGGAAGUUUUUAAUGUUUGAUGCUUUAUUAUGUUUUAUAUAUUCUGUAAGCCACCCAGAGUGGCUGAGGAAACCCAGCCAGGUGGGUGGGAUAUUAUUAUUAUUAUUAUUAAGCCUGCUGGAUCAGUUCAAUGGCUCAUUGACUCACAGUGGCCAACCAGAUACUUAUGGGAAGCCCACAAGCUGUCCCAGUCUGCAGAGGUAACAGGAUGUCCUGAGAAGUAUGCUUUCUUCCAGAUGCAAAGAUGUGACAGAGAAAUUGCCAAGUCUUGUAAUUCCCAAUGACCACUACCCUUUCCUUCUGAUUCAUGUGGGUGCAAACAAUACUGCCACAUACAGCUUCAGUAUACAGCAAGGGGCUAUGAGGCAGGAAGCUGAAGAGCUGUAGGGCACAGGUUGUUUUUUCAUCACUCCACCCUGUUGAAGUUCGUGGUCCAGGAAGAGAGAAUAAAAUACUGGAAGUAAAUCACUGGCUGCACAGGUGGUGUCAUCAGGAAGGGUUUGGCUUCUUGGAUCAUGGUCUCUGCUUACUUGAAGAAGGACUUUUGGAGGAGAUGGGCAGCACUCCACAGCAGCUGGCAAGAAUGUAUUUGCUAAGUGUCUCAGAAAUCUGAUCAAGAGAGCUUUAAACUAGAUCCUGAGUGGGAGGGAGACAACAAUACAGAAGACAGAGGAACACCUAGGACUGGGGAUAAUGAUGGUGCUCCAGAAACCUGCUAAAGGGCAGGAAAUGACAAGAAGGAAGCAGCUGGAGGGAAUGACUUAUGGUUUCAGUUGUCUCUAUACCAAUGCACAGAGUGCAUGCAUAGUAAUAGAUGAAUAGUAGUUAUAUGUAAAGGAUGUGUUUAAUUGUGAAGAAAUCCAUGACCUGGAGCAUGGAAAGUAGAUUGAGAGUAUAUGGGUAAAAAUAGUAGGUCAAUGGCCUCACUGUGGGUGUCUGCUAUAGACCGCCAAGCUAGACUGAAGACUUGGAUGAUGCCUUCCUAAAGCAGAUUACCAAACAUUACAAAAGGAAAGAUAUUGUUGUUAUGGGAGACUUCAACUACUCCAAUACCUGUCAGGACCCUGCCAAACACAUAAAGGCCAACAAAUUCCUCCAUUGCCUUGCUGACAAUUUCAUUUCCCUUAAGGUGGAAGACAUGACAAGGUCUUGAACCUGGUCCUCAUAAACAGAGAGGAACUGACUAAAGUUCACAAGCACCAGUGCAUCCUUUUGAUUGAGGCAAUCAAUGGCAUGGGCUAUUUCCUCACGACUUUCUCUCCCUAUAUAAUCAUUAAUCUGUUUUUCUGCCUCUAUGAAAUUGGAAAAGUUAUUCAAAAAGCCUUCAGCUUUAUACAUGGUUUUGACAUUUUCCAAAAACUGAGGGAGGAUUUUCCUUGAACACGUUAUGAACAAGGCAUUCCCUAUGUUCACCCAGGCUUUGUUGCCUGGAUGGUGAAACUUAAAGAAGAACUGACGGAAUCCUCUGUGGCUCUUAGCCUCCAUGAUCUGUGACAGGUUAAAUGCAAGUCCCUUGUAAAUCAGUCUAGGGGUCUGAGAUUUAGCCCCAAGGCUGAGCGUUACAAAGGGUGUGGAAAUGCUUAGUGGAGAAAAUAUUUUGGGCAGCUGCCUCAGAAGCAAUUUCCUCGUAGAAUCAACAUGCACCAUUGAUUCCUUGUAGAAUCAAAAUGCACAAUCUUAUGCCAGUCACUUUUUGCUUGGAAUAGUGUCAAAGGUGGGCGUUGCUUUUUAGAUUGAUUUUUAUUCCCAUGAUCAGCAUGGUCUUUGGGCUGCCCUGGGUCGUGAUGACAAUAAACUUGAAGAGCAAACACUAAGAAGAAGUAAAUGAUAGACUUUCCUGGAACUUGUAAUUCUUCUGCCAAAGAUAAAAUAAAUCACAUAGAUGACAUUUGUCAGGUUUAGCACUUCUCUCACACAAGACACAACACGCUGGCAACAUUAGAGGCUCAACCAACUGCUAAAUGCUGAUGGUCCUUCCAGUUUGGACCAGAGCUGUUUGGCAAAGAGCUGCAUAAACAAGCACCUUUGGAAAUCCAAAACUCAAGGUUGUUGUUUUUUCAAAUAAAGAAACUGUAUUAAAGAUACACAUACACAUACUAUUAUAUUUGUCCAUAUUUACAUUAUAUGUAUAUUUUGUAAAUUCAACAAGCAAUUUCCAUUCAUCCUUAAAUCCUUCUUCCCCCAUUCUGUCACUCAAUGAAUGAUUACCCCCUUUAUUAGGCUAAUUUGGAAUUAUUCAAUGAAGCAGUAGCUUCAAUUUCCCCUUCAUCCAACAUAUUUAUGUAAGGCAAUGUUUCCUCUUUAAUUUUAAUUGUAUAGCACCUACACCCAUAUCAAAAAAUAUACUAGAAGAUAUACCCCACGUAUAUCAUUUCUUUAGUCUCCCAGUCAGAAAACAUAAUUCAUGAUUAUUUUUUGCAGGGACACUGGUGAGAGAUCUAUGAAAAAAGUACAGUGGUGCCCCGCAAGACGAAUGCCUCGCAAGACGAAAAACUCGCUAGAUGAAAGAGUUUUCCGUUUUUUGAGUCAUUCCGCAAGACGAAUUUCCCCAUGGGCUUGCUUCGCAAGACAAAACGUCUUGCGAGUUCUUGCGAGUUUGUUUCCUUUUUCUUAAAGCCGCUAAGCCGUUAAUAGCCGCUAAGCCGCUAAGCCGUUAAUAGCCGCUAAGCCGCUAAGCCGCUAAUAGCCGCUAAGCCGCUAAUAGCCGUGCUUCGCAAGACGAAAAAACCGCAAGACGAAGAGACUCGUGGAACGGAUUAAUUUCGUCUUGCGAGGCACCACUGUAUUUGAUUUUCGCUCCCAGUUUUGCAAAUUCUGGUUUAUCUCUAGCUGUUCUUAAUAUGAAAUCUUUUGAAUUAUUCAAGAAAGUCAUUAACACAUUUCUAUUCAAGUCCUUUCUUUUAGCAUAUGCUGCAUUUAUUCAAUGUGCAUUCCUUACUUAGAUAUCAUAAAAACCAGCACCUGCCAAAGUUGCAAGUGAAUCACCCCAAAAGCCCGUCAAAUUAUCCUCUUUAGUUUUCCCCACUAUCCUAAUUUACAAAUUUAGUUUCCUGCUUUUGUUUUCUGAUAUUUUAACCUGCUCUUAUAAAUAUUAAGCAGGCCUCUGCCACUAUGUCUUAAUCACUGAUAUGCCCCAAAUGCCCAUUUUCAUAAUUAACCAUUAAUCAGAACAAACAAGGAUUUUCCAAGGAAGGCAGAGAACCAAAAUGUGACGCAAUUUGUUUUUCGCCUGCUAGUGUGUCCCUUCAUUUUGCCCAUUGAGGCCAUGAGGUAAUGGCAGAUUGAAAAGCUUUGAGCAAGGGACAGUGAACCUGUUUCUCGAGAUCAGGGGUCAGCAAACUUUUUCAGCAGGGGGCCGGUCCACUGUCCCUCAGAUCUUGUGGGGUGCUGGACUAUAUUUUUUGGGGGGGGGAUAAAAAAUGAACUAAUUCCUAUGCCCCACAAAUAACCAAGGGAUGUAUUUUAAAUAAAAGGACACUUUCUACUCAUGUAAAAACACGCUGAUUCUCGGACCGUCCAUGGGCCGGAUUUAGAAGGAGAUUCGGCCGGAUCUGGCCCUUGGGCCUUAGUUUGCCUACCCAUGCUCUAGAUGUUGUGGGAGUACAACUCCCACCAUCCCUGACCGUGAACUGUGCUGUCUGGAGCUGAGGGAUGCUGGGAUACAAUAGCAUCAGGAAGGUUUCCCUAUACUGAUGUCUUAGGCAAAUGUGUCAUGAAGGCUAGCAACAUCAACCUCACCAAGUGAGAUUCCCUAGUGGGCAACUGCAGUGCCUGGAGACUUUUAGCUUACCGUACUCUUAAGUCGUAAUAUUAGUACAGAUGAAAGUUUAGGCCACAAAAUAUUGCUUUGGUGUGGUACGCUGGUUUGACAUAAUCUGAUAGGAAGUGCCUACAGAGGGUGGUGAAUACAGCACAAGAUAUUAUGGGCUGUCCUGUGAAUCCACUGGAUGAAUGUUGCCUCAGAAGAGUGAGGAAAAUUCUCAGGGAUGAUUCACACCCUGGCCGGCACUUUCUUGAUCUCCUGCCCUCAGGCAGAGGAUAUAGAAGCAUGAUUAGUCGCACCAACAGGGUAAAGAACAGCUUCUAUCGUGGGCUGUUAGGCUGCUGAAUGAAAAGAUAACAACAGGGCAACUGAUUUUGGGUUUGGUGGGUAUGCAUCAGUAAACAAGGGGAACUAAGACUAAGAGAGCAGAGUGGGGGGUGCUCGUGUACAUCACCUUGCCAACAAAGGUCUGUAUAGUUAAAGCUAUGGUUUUCCCAGUAGUGAUGUAUGGAAGUGAGAGCUGGACCAUCAAGAAGGCUGAUCGCCGAAGAAUUGAUGCUUUUGAAUUAUGGUGCUGGAGGAGACUCUUGAGAGUCCAAUGGACUGCAAGAAGAUCAAACGUAUCCAUUCUUAAGGAAAUCAGCCCUGAGUGCUCACUGGAAGGACAGAUCCUGAAGCUGAGACUCCAAUACUUUGGCCACCUCAUGAGAAGAGAAGACUCCCUGGAAAAGACCCUGAUGUUGGGAAAGAUGGAGGGCACAAGGAGAAGGGGACGACACAAGGAAAAUCCAGUUUGGGCUUUAGACACAUACUCAUUAAUGUCCAGUGUUGACAAUGGGCCACAUUUUGCAGAACUUUUGAGCUUCCAGUUUGGGGUUAAAUGUGCCCUACUCAGGUUGGGACAAAUUCCCAUGAAAACAUGCAUUCUGAGAUAUUGCAUCUCAAAUGGUGAUCUCUGCAGAAUAAAAAAGUAUCCAGUCCAAUC